rnacentral:rRNA from 1 species
AACGAACGCUGGCGGCAUGCCUAACACAUGCAAGUCGAACGAGAACUUCGGGCCUAGUGGCGCACGGCUGCGUAACGCGUGGGAACCUGCCCUUAGGUUCGCAAUACCUCAGAGAAAUUUGAGCUAAUACCGGAUAAUGUCUUCGGACCAAAGAUCUCUCGCCUUUGGAUGGGCCCGCGUAGGAUUAGCUUGUUGGUGGGGUAAUGGCCUACCAACGGGAGGAUGCUUAGCUGGUAUGAGAGGAUGAGCAUCCACACUGGGACUAAGACACGGCCCAGACUCCUACGGGAGGGAGCAGAGGAGAAUAUUGGACAAGGGGCGAAGGCGUGAUCCAGCAAUGCCGCGUAAGUGAUGAAGGCCUUAGGGUUGUAAAGCUCUUUUACCAGGGAUGAUAAUGACGGUACCUGGAGAAUAAGCUCCGGCUAACUCCGUG